rnacentral:misc_RNA from 1 species
CCCCAUAGAGGCAUCGACGGAUUAGAGGCACGGCACGGUUUCAUUCAUGCACUUCGGCGAGCGGCGAUCAUUAUCACGCCAAAAGCCUUGUCAUGCAAAGUCGAAAACAGACCGCAAGCCAAUACAUUUCAGAGGAGCCCGAGUCCCGAACACGAAUAUUCAGGUCUCCGGCAGCCCCCACUAUCCAAGCUCCACUCGAAGUCAAUCGAGAGGAGUUGAGAAUUUACUGACGCUCAAACAGGCAUGCUCCUCGGAACACCGAGGAGCGCAAGGUGCGUUCAAAGAUUCGAUGAUUCACUGUAGAUCUGCAAUUCACAUUACAUAUCGCUAUUCGCUGCGUUCUUCAUCGAUGCGAGAGCCAAGAGAUCCAUUGCUGAAAGUUGUAAUAACUUUUGUCUCAAAGAAUCGCAUCUCCUAGAAGUCGCGACUCGAUGAUAGUAAAAACAUUCAAAGACUUUCUACACGAAGAGGGGCAUAUGAAGACGCAGAGGUUGACCCUCCGCGCCCAUACGACCAAAGUCCAGAAAGAAAGCGUGCACGUGCCUAGGGCCAG